rnacentral:lncRNA from 1 species
AUGUAAUAUGGUUCGGAGGAUGUUAUAAAAAAUAAAAGUUUUAAAAAUGAUUAGUUCUGAACUAGUAAGAUUGAGAUUUUCGGUAUUUGGUUUAAAUUCAAAUGGUGAUAACGCACAAAUCGCAAAUUUUCAGCAAAUCCGUUUUUAUCAAAUUUUUACCUAAUCCUAACCGAAUUGUCAAAUAAUUUGCAAAAUCAAGAACGGGAUUUCUCAAAUUUGACCAAAGAACAAAAUCAAAAGAAUGAUUAGAUAUUUGGGUACAUUUUAACCAGAAGGUGAAAAAAUAAAGUCGAAGUACUCCAGUCCCAGGCUCUAUUAUAUAGAAGGAAAAUUUUGUGAAUUUUUCAAUUUAAAUAUUAUUUUUCUUAACAAUAUUAUCAUUGAUUGAAAUAUUAUAGGGGAUGCAGGAGUUUUAAAGAGCAAAAAAAGUCAAAGUACUCCAGUCCUAAUUUUUGGAAAAUCCACAAAACAGCAUUAAGAGUCUUGUGUACUGCAACAGCAUACUACAAACUUAAAAUUAAUGACAAUGGACUUGAAUUGGAUGGUUUAAUGUUAAAAGGAGGGAAUAAUACCAUAAAACUAUAUUUGAAACAAAUGUCCUGUUGCUACAAGAAUGUAAAGGGAGUGAAAUCCAUUCAAAGAAUCAUGGACCAUUCGUGGAGAGGUCAAUCCCUGGAAUAACCUUAAGAAAUAUAGUAAGAAACGACGAAGUUCAUAGACGAACUGUAGUGGAAGAUAUGGAUUAUAUAAGGCAAAGUGGAGAUGGGCGGGAUAUUUUGCAAGAAUGGAAGACAACAGAGCUUCGAGACAUGGGUUCCUAGUAUAUGCCCGAUGACAUCAUUUCAGAAUCCGUUGUGGAAGACAAGGAAUUUUUCUUUAGGAAGUUUGCUUAGGGAAUAUUACUAUGAAGCUGUAUUAACAAAGUGGCAAACGAAGUGCUGGGUAUUGAACAACACAGGAAUAAAUAUUUGGAGAAAUAUAGUGACGAGCUCGAAGAGAUGAUUAAAAGGAAAAAAGAUAAGUUUCUAAAUGGCUACACUACAGAACCCCAGGAACACGAGAAAAAUAUGAUACAGUUCAUCAAAUAUAGCUGAAAAUGUAAAAUUCCCAUUACCUGUGCUAACAAUGAAGUGAGAACGAACAUAAAAACGGUCUGGACCGUCACUGCGAGUGCGAGGUCCGUCGUUUGACGAAUGCGCAUCAUGAUCGUAGUUAUUUUCACACUUUCAGCUAUAUUUGGUGAACUGUACCCUCACACAACAAGUCAAGCAAAGAAUAAGGCUCGAGAAGAACUAAUGCUGGGAGAGAAUGUGCAGUUACUUAGACAACACGAUAGGGUAUAACGGAUCAAUGUACCUAAUCAUGAAAAAAAA